rnacentral:rRNA from 1 species
UACGAAGGGGGCUAGCGUUGCUCGGAAUCACUGGGCGUAAAGGGUGCGUAGGCGGGUCUUUUAAGUCAGGGGUGAAAUCCUGGAGCUCAACUCCAGAACUGCCUUUGAUACUGAAGAUCUUGAGUUCGGGAGAGGUGAGUGGAACUGCGAGUGUAGAGGUGAAAUCGUAGAUAUUCGCAAGAACACCAGUGGCGAAGGCGGCUCACUGGCCCGAUACUGACGCUGAGGCACGAAAGCGUGGGG